rnacentral:tRNA from 1 species
CGGGACGUAGCGCAGCUUGGUAGCGCACUUGAUUUGGGAUCAAGUGGUCGCAGGUUCAAAUCCUGUCGUCCCGACCA